UGAGUACACCAGGCUCCACCCGCAUGGUGGUCACCUUUGCUCUAGUCAAUGUUACAACUGAAAUAAAGUCUGUUGAAAUGCACCAUGAAGCUUUGAGUGAAGCUCUUCCUGGAGACAAGGUAGGUUCAAUGUCAAGAACGUGUCUGUCAAAGAUGUUAGCUGUGGCAGUGUGGCUGGUGACAGCAAAAAGGACCCACCAGUGGAA